rfam:Verrucomicrobiaceae bacterium TMED86 25490, whole genome shotgun sequence.
UCUGGUGGCCACAGCAGAGAGGAACCACCCGGUCCCAUUCCGAACCCGGAAGUGAAACUCUUUAGCGCCGAUGGUAGUGGGACGAUAGGUCCUGUGAGAGUAGGUCGUCGCCAGGU